UCCGGAAGGCCAGCCCCAGGGGGUAUGCUCUCGCGCGGUGAAGCACCCAGGCUGAGUUGCCUUAGGCCGGUAGACUGGGUCGUGUUUAUCUGGAAGGCCAGCCCCAGGGGGUAUGCUCUCGCGCGGUGAAGCACCCAGGCUGAGUUGCCUUAGGCCGGUAGACUGGGUCGUGUUUAUCUGGAAGGCCAGCCCCAGGGGGUAUGCUCUCGCGCGGUGAAGCACCCAGGCUGAGUUGCCUUAGGCCGG
rnacentral:lncRNA from 1 species